CCGGUCUGAGGCUGCCUUCCAGGAUCUGCUGUCAAGGCUUAUUCCUCGGGGAACAGCUGUUGGCAACAGGAGGGAAGGUUAUCUCGGUCCUGACUGGCUGUUUGAAUGUGGUCGAACCCUCAUCGGUCUCUGGGCCCUUCUUAGAAAUGCCAGUAAUAAGGUUGCCCUGUGAGAAGUGUAUGAAUCAAAAGGCUCCCUGGCUCAGGACACAGCUCUCCAGCCUGGUCGUCAGAGACUUUAACCAUCCAAAGAAAGACGCUACAACCCAGGAGUGAGGCGUCCGAGAAAAGCCAAGGUUCAGAGAAGCCUACAUGGCCGUGUGCAUGCCCAACACUGUCCAGAAGGUGGCUAACUCCUGACGUGGAUGCAGCAAGUUCCAGUGUCUCAUCCCAGAAACGCUGGUCAGGGGGGC